GACGUAGGGCGCGAGCGUUGUCCGGAUUUAUUGGGCGUAAAGAGCUCGUAGGCGGUUCGUCGCGUCGGCUGUGAAAACCUGAGGCUCAACCUCAGGCCUGCAGUCGAUACGGGCGGACUUGAGUACUGCAGGGGAGACUGGAAUUCCUGGUGUAGCGGUGGAAUGCGCAGAUGUCAGGAGGAACACCGAUGGCGAAGGCAGAUCUCUGGGCCGGUAACUGA
rnacentral:rRNA from 1 species